CAAGUCGAGGGGAAACGACAUCGAAGGCUCGCUUUUGAUGGGCGUCGACCGGCGCACGGGUGAGUAACGCGUAUCCAACCUGCCCACCACUUGGGGAUAACCUUGCGAAAGUAAGACUAAUACCCAAUGACGUCUCUAGAAGACAUCUGAAAGAGAUUAAAGAUUUAUCGGUGAUGGAUGGGGAUGCGUCUGAUUAGCUUGUUGGCGGGGUAACGGCCCACCAAGGCGACGAUCAGUAGGGGUUCUGAGAGGAAGGUCCCCCACAUUGGAACUGAGACACGGUCCAAACUCCUACGGGUGGCAGCAGUGAGGAAUAUUGGUCAAUGGACGAGAGUCUGGACCAGCCAAGUAGCGUGCAGGAAGACGGCCCUAUGGGUUGUAAACUGCUUUUAUAAGGGAAUAAAGUGAGUCUCGUGAGACUUUUUGCAUGUACCUUAUGAAUAAGGACCGGCUAAUUCCGUGCCAGCAGCCGCGGUAAUACGGAAGGUCCGGGCGUUAUCCGGAUUUAUUGGGUUUAAAGGGAGCGUAGGCCGGAGAUUAAGCGUGUUGUGAAAUGUAGACGCUCAACGUCUGCACUGCAGCGCGAACUGGUUUCCUUGAGUACGCACAAAGUGGGCGGAAUUCGUGGUGUAGCGGUGAAAUGCUUAGAUAUCACGAAGAACUCCGAUUGCGAAGGCAGCUCACUGGAGCGCAAACUGACGCUGAAAGCUGAAAAGUGCGGGUAUCGAACAGGAUUAGAUUACCCUGGUAGUUCCGCACGGUAAACGAUGGAUGCCCGCUGUUGGUUCUGAAAUUAGGUCAGCGGCCAA
rnacentral:rRNA from 1 species